GGGGAUGUAGGCUAGUCUGGACAAACUGGAUGCUCCGCAAGCACAUGUCAUGGGUUCAAAUCCCAUCAUCCCCA
rnacentral:tRNA from 1 species